ACCUGAGCUUGCAUCCAGAUAUUGCAUUCACUCCAAACUGCACUUCAUGUCUUUUAACAGAGCAACUUCCAUUACCCUGGCUCUGUAAGAGGGAUACUGAGUAACUUAUAUCAUCAGUCAGAGCCAAGAGUGGCUUCCCAACUAUAUAGCCAGGAUUCCCACUUCUAGGACUGGUGAGAGAAGCAGCUGUGCUCUGUUGAAAAGCC
rnacentral:lncRNA from 1 species